AACGCUAGCGGCAGGCCUAAUACAUGCAAGCCGAGGGAUGUCUGUGUAGCAAUACACAGAUGACCGGCGGACGGGUGCGUAACGCGUACGCAACCUACCCUAUACAGGAGGAUAGCUCCCGGAAACGGGAAUUAAUACUCCAUAGUAAUUAAGUAAGGCAUCUUACUUAAUUUAAAGUCGUAAGACGGUAUAGGAUGGGCGUGCGUCCGAUUAGCUAGUUGGAGAGGUAACGGCUCACCAAGGCGAUGAUCGGUAGGGGUUCUGAGAGGAAGAUCCCCCACACGGGCACUGAGGCACGGGCCCGACUCCUACGGGAGGCAGCAGUAAGGAAUAUUGGACAAUGGGUGGAAGCCUGAUCCAGCCAUGCCGCGUGGAGGAAGAAGGUCCUAUGGAUUGUAAACUCCUUUUGCAGGGGGGAAAUAAGUCCGACUUGUCGGACGAUGAUAGUACUCUGCGAAUAAGCAUCGGCUAACUUCGUGCCAGCAGCCGCGGUAAGACGAAGGAUGCGAGCGUUAUCCGGAUUCACUGGGUUUAAAGGGUGCGUAGGCGGCUUGCCAAGUUUCAGGUUAAAGACUGGUGCUUAACAUCAGGGUUGCCUGAAAAACUGGAGAGCUUGAGAUAGUCAGACGUUGCUGGAAUAUGGCAAGUAGAGGUGAAAUUCAUAGAUAUGCCAUAGAACACCGAAAGCGAAGGCAGGCGACGAUGACUGAUCUGACGCUGAGGCACGAAAGCGUGGGGAGCAAACAGGAUUAGAUACCCUGGUAGUCCACGCUGUAAACGAUGAUGACUUGUUGUUUGGG
rnacentral:rRNA from 1 species